rnacentral:rRNA from 1 species
UAGGGAAUAUUGGACAAUGGGCGAAAGCCUGAUCCAGCCAUGCCGCGUGAGUGAUGAAGGCCUUCGGGUUGUAAAACUCUUUUCUGAGGGAAGAAAAAACGAUAUAGGAAAUGAUAUCGUCUUGACGGUACCUCAGGAAUAAGCAACGGCUAACUCCGUGCCAGCAGCCGCGGUAAUACGGAGGUUGCAAGCGUUGUUCGGAAUUACUGGGCGUAAAGGGAGCGCAGGCGGCUUGAUAAGUCUGAAGUGAAAUCCCGGGGCUUAACCUCGGAAGUGCUUUGGAUACUGUCAAGCUUGAGUUCGUGAGAGGAAAGCGGAAUUCAGGGUGUAGCGGUGAAAUGCGUAGAUAUCCUGAGGAACACCAGUGGCGAAAGCGGCUUUCUGGCGCGAAACUGACGCUGAGGCUCGAAAGCGUGGGUAUCAAACGGG